rnacentral:rRNA from 1 species
CGGCGGACGGGUGAGUAACGCGUGGGGUAACCUGCCCUGUACACACGGAUAACAUACCGAAAGGUAUGCUAAUACGAGAUAAAAUACUUUUAUCGCAUGGUAGAAGUAUCAAAGCUUUUGCAGUACAGGAUGGACCCGCGUCUGAUUAGCUAGUUGGUAAGGUAACGGCUUACCAAGGCGACGAUCAGUAGCCGACCUGAGAGGGUGAUCGGCCACAUUGGAACUGAGACACGGUCCAAACUCCUACGGAAGGCAGCAG